rnacentral:rRNA from 1 species
CGACACGACUCUCGGCAACGGAUAUCUCGGCUCUCGCAUCGAUGAAGAACGUAGCAAAAUGCGAUACCUGGUGUGAAUUGCAGAAUCCCGCGAACCAUCGAGUUUUUGAACGCAAGUUGCGCCCGAGGCCUUCUGGCCGAGGGCACGUCUGCCUGGGCGUCACGC